GCCUGAAAGGUACACUGCAAUUCAGAAGAUGGAGAAUUUUCUCCUUCUGAUGAAUAGUGUUAUUGACUUGUGGAGGAGCCCCAGCUCUAUGUCCAUAGUAAUGGACAUGAAUUUUGCCAUUAUGUGAAGAGUGGGGCUCUUCUUCCUACUAAUCCUAUUCCUGAAUGGGUCACCACCACCUGGGAGUGAAAAGAACAUCCCAAAGUGUUAGGGGAUUAAAAAGGUGGAAGAAAAGGAGUGGAGAAGAGUGGAAGUAAGAAGAACCGACAAAGUAGUAAAAGUCUAGCUACAGACAGGUGGUGAAGAGGAGGCAGAUCAACAUGAGGAAGAAAACUACUAUGGUAAAAGGUUAUAGAAACAGUCAAGAACGCACAUACGCAGAAUGCAUUAUAAUGUGUGUAA